CUCCUACAACAAAUCCUUCAACCUGCGCCCCGCCGCCCCCUCGCAGAACGUCGACUUCUUGCAGUCCGGCCGGGGCUACCGCCGAGGGGACCGCUGGCGGCCGCGGCGAUGGGGACGCUGGGGUCCGCGGGGCGGAGAGUCCGAGCGGCGUGUCCGGAGCUUGCUGGGCUGGUGUCGGUCCUGCUCCCGCAACCGAGCCCGGAGCACUGCGCGCGAGUCAGCCGCUUGUGUGCGUCCUCAGGGGCCGUCCCGGCGGGAUGUGGAUUCUCGGAGUGGAUGCACCAGUCCCGGGGCUGGAACGCCGGCCCAGAGCUGUGCCCCUACUGUGGUAACCUGCGGAGAGACCCGCUUCGGAGCCCGCUGCUGCCACCUGCGGGUGGAAAGAAGCAAGCUGGUCCAGGUGGCGUGCCCAGGGGCUUGAGUGUCCGGAUCCAAGGGUAGUUUGUGUGUGUGUGGUGUGUGUGUGUGUGUGUGUGUGUGUGUGUGUGUGUGUGUGUGUGUGUUUUUAAUAGCCCUGAGACACUUGUUAAAGCAUUUCUACCUUUCCCAGGAAAUGAAGGUGUGAUGUAGAGAUCCGCUGAGGUACUGAGUCGUUGGGAUGAAGGAAAGAAAAUGGUUUAAGAAACUUAAAUAGCAAGUGUCUUCCCACAUCCCCUGAGGGAUUAAGACUGUUGAAAGCAUAUAAAGCAAAGAGCUUUCCCUAGAAAAUGAAAUUUGGCCCUACUGAAAAAAUAGUAUUGUGUAGGAUAAUUUUAUGCUGGGAACUACAAAUAAGGAUCCCAAAUGAUUGUUUCCUUUGAAUAAAUAUGACGUUAUCAGAAUGACGAAAUAAAAAGAAAUUGAAUAGGGCAUAGGGACCCUAGUCCCAGAAGCCUGGAACUGAUUUGUCAGUUGUAGACAGCCA
ensembl:lncRNA